AAUCCAUGACGUGGACACGAUCUAAGCAUACUUUUAAAUCAAUCCCAUGCUUCAUAAAAUGAUUUUGUAUUAGUCUGUUUGAAGUUGGCAAUCUGAUUUCUCAUGUGUGU